rnacentral:rRNA from 1 species
AUCGGAAUUACUGGGCGUAAAGCGCGCGUAGGCGGCUUUUCAAGUCGAUUGUGAAAUCCCCGGGCUUAACCUGGGAACUGCAGUCGAGACUGUCUAGCUAGAGUAUGGGAGAGGGAAGUGGAAUUUCAGGUGUAGCGGUGAAAUGCGUAGAUAUCUGAAGGAACAUCAGUGGCGAAAGCGACUUCCUGGACCAAUACUGACGCUCAUGUGCGAAAGCGUGGGGAGCAAACAGG